GAGAAAAGAUGGUACUCCUCAGGCAGGAUGCAGGAGUGGGGGUAGAAGUUGUACUCCCCAGGCAGGAUGCAGGAGUGGGGGUAGAAGUUGUACUCCUCAGGCAGGAUCCAGGAGCGGGGAUAGAAGUUGUACUCCCCAGGUAGGAUCCAGGAGCAGUGGUAGAAGUUGUACUCCCCAGGCAGGAUGCAGGAGUGGGGGUAGAAGUUGUACUCCCCAGGUAGGGUCCAGGAGUGGGGGUAGAAGUUGUACUCCCCAGGUAGGAUGCAGGAGCGGGGGUAGAAGUUGUACUCCUCAGGUAGGAUCCAGGAGUGGGGGUAGAAGUUGUACUCCCCAGGCAGGAUGCAGGAGCGGGGGUAGAAGUUGUACUCCCCAGGUAGGGUCCAGGAGCGGGGGUAGAAGUUGUACUCCUCAGGUAGGAUCCAGGAGUGGGGGUAGAAGUUGUACUCCUCAGGUAGGAUCCAGGAGUGGGGGUAGAAGUUGUACUCCCCAGGCAGGAUCCAGGAGCGGUGGUAGAAGUUGUACUCCCCAGGUAGGAUCCAGGAGCGGUGGUACUCCUCAGGUAGGAUCCAGGAGUGGGGGUAGAAGUUGUACUCCCCAGGCAGGAUGCAGGAGUGGGGGUAGAGGUUGUACUCCCCAAGCAGGAUGCAGGAGUGGGGGUAGAAGUUGUACUCCCCAGGCAGGAUCCAGGAGCGGGGGUAGAAGUUGUACUCCUCAGGCAGGAUCCAGGAGCGGGGGUAGAAGUUGUACUCCUCAGGUAGGAUCCAGGAGUGGGGGUAGAAGUUGUACUCCUCAGGUAGGAUCCAGGAGCGGUGGUAGAAAUUGUACUCCUCAGGUAGGAUUCAGGAGCGGUGGUACUCCUCAGGUAGGAUCCAGGAGCGGGGGUAGAAGUUGUACUCCUCAGGUAGGAUUCAGGAGCGGUGGUAGAAGUUGUACUCCUCAGGUAGGAUUCAGGAGCGGUGGUACUCCCUAGGUAGGAUCCAGGAGCGGGGGUAGAAUUUGUACUCCUCAGGGAACAGCUCCUGCAUGGUCCUCACCGCUCGGCUCAGGUUGAUCUUUC
ensembl:lncRNA